rnacentral:lncRNA from 1 species
GCAGGUUAAUCGUACAAGUAGAAGGACCCGCAAUGGCGGCGACGAUGGGUUUCUGAAUAAUCUCUUUUCGACGUUCCAACGGCAACGGUCGCGACCGUGUCGCUGACACCAUCAGGAGCCGGUGGCCUGCUGAAGAACCUAAUCGAUCUUGGCAUCAUCGUGUAGUGGUGACAUUUUCGAUUUUGAGGUAGCAGGGGCCUGUAGAAUUUUGACAUACCUUUGAUGGUAUACAUCUUGGAUUGAAUGAUAUGACCUGCUAUUCUGAAUGUUAGAUGGACAUCUCAAAAUAUGGCCUUAACAAACAUGAAAGCUCUUGAAUAAGUCAUACAGUAUUGGAUUGACAUUAUUUCGUUACAGUAUUUCUGAAUGUAUAUUGUUCUGAAUUUUUUUCAUCCUAAUGAUGUCUUAUAUGCAUGCGACGGGCUAACCUCUGUAUAUAGGUUGGCACGUCGCACUGGGUGAAGGCUGCAGAUCAUGCACUCGAGAUCAUCCACAAAACAUCAGGGAGAGGUUCUGUCGGCUGGAGCUUGUGGGAGUAUCACGUCGUGAUCGAGACCUGGGCGACCAUCUAUAUGGUAGGCAACUAGACUCACACCCAACUUUAUUUUUCCUUGUGCUGAUUUGAGGUUAGUUCAGUUCCAGGGGCAGGUGCUAAUUAAUGGACAGUCCAAGGAUGAAUGGGAGAGGUGGCUGCUGAUUACGGUUUGAUUUUGGUAAUUAUAUUUGGGUUCCUUGUUCGUUGCCGUUUUGUUGUGCUAGAUGUGGUAUAUGAUCCAUAAGAUAUUUAGAUAUUAGAUUAUUAUCACUGCAAUAGCAUCAGACCAAACUUGGUCUUUUCUCAUGUGCUAAAUCAAAGUAGGAAUCGGUUGUAGAAGUAGACAAGACUGCAACUAGCUUAAAGUUGGUUAGAUUAUGUAUAAAAGGGUAUUUCUGUUGUCUACUCUUUAGGUUCCCAUAGUGUGAGGUGGUAUUCCUUUUGAAAACACAUAUAAACUGGCAUCGAUAGUGAACAAUGGUGCUUCCUGUACGUAUAAACUGGAGCAGCAAUACUUAAACCUUUUACGUAAUAAAGCGUCCCGUUUCGCAAAAAAUAAACUGGAGCAGUAAUAUGAGGCUGAAGUAACCGACAUUAGCAACAAUAAUAUAAAUGUUUUCUGCACUGGGUCCGUGUGUCUCACAUGGAUGUUGAAUAGAUAAAAUGCUAUAAAGAUCAGCUUGCUUCUCAUGUAAUUGGAACGAUUGUGUGUCUUAGUUUUUCCUGUUUCCUUUGGUUUUGCAGCCAAGAUUUUUUUAGCACGUGCAUACAGAGCAGAACUGGAGCAUAAUAGUAGUUGAAAAAUGUUUUAGUGUAGUUUAUUAAAGAUUCCGUUUAUUUCUACAUUACGAAUGUAACUACUUAGUCAUUCUCAAAAAAGAAAAGAAACGAAUGUAGCUUACUUAGUCCACUGAGUUCCUUUAUGAUGUGUCCCUAAAGAAAGAGAGUUCCUUUAUGAUGUGUAGCACAUGUCCUUUACUGAUACGACAUAGUUUCUCAUUCUAGGUAACGGCAAGUGAAGCCAUGAAAGGCAUGUAUAUUGUACUACAGACAUGUAGCUUCAUGGUAUCUUUGUUGUGAUGUUCAUGUUCUCUUGGAAGAUUCUCUUACUAGAUUUAUGCUAGAUUUCACUAAAUCAUCUUUCUUUUACACAAGUACUAUGUAAGCUGUAUGUUUCCCAGGUUUGUUCAAAGUUUCUUGCACAUUCAGUAUUCAGUGCCCCUGCAUCUUAUUUUUUGCUCUUUCUUGUUGGAUGCGGGAUCACAUUCAGCUGUCCUCACAACUAUGAACUAUCUUCUUUGUUAUAUCGAAUAUUUUUCUCUACGCUCAUGCUUGUGAAUUGUAUGACGUUUUGACAGGUUAUAUGUGGGUUCCUUGUGCCGAUCAAAACACGGGUAGAUGCUAAUAAUAUUUUUGUUGACAUAUAUCCCUACUGGAAUUUUCAUGUACGCCGGGUGUAAUGCUCUUCGCCGAGUGCUAAAACACGGACACUCGGCAAAUCAAGCUUUGCCGAGUGUCACUCUCGGCAAACCCACCGUCACGGCAAACUGCCAUCUUUGCUGUCACUGCCUCACGGCAAAGAGGCACCGCACGGCAAAGUUGCAGACGCCGAGAGCCG